rnacentral:rRNA from 1 species
GGAGGAAUAUUGGUCAAUGGACGCAAGUUUGAACCAGCCAAGCAGCGUGCAGGAGGACGGCCCUAUGGGUUGUAAACUGCUUUUAUAUGGGGAUAAAGUGGGGAACGUGUUCCAUGUUGUAGGUACCAUAUGAAUAAGGACCGGCUAAGUGCGUGCCAGCAGCCGGGGUAAUAAGGAAGGUCCAGGCGUUAUCAGGAUUUAAUGGGUUUAAAGGGAGCGUAGGCUGUUUGUUAAGCGGGUUGUGAAAUGUAAGAGCUCAACUUUUAGAUUGCCGCGCGAACUGGCAGACUUGAGUGCGCACAACGUAGGCGGAAUUCAUGGUGUAGCGGUGAAAUGCUUAGAUAUCAUGACGAACUCCGAUUGCGAAGGCAGCUUACGGGAGCGCAACUGACGCUAAAGCUCGAAGGUGCGGGUAUCGAACAGG